GACGAACGCUGGCGGCGUGCUUAACACAUGCAAGUCGAACGGAAAGGCCCUGCUUUUGUGGGGUGCUCGAGUGGCGAACGGGUGAGUAACACGUGAGUAACCUGCCCUUGACUUUGGGAUAACUUCAGGAAACUGGGGCUAAUACCGGAUAGGAGCUCCUGCUGCAUGGUGGGGGUUGGAAAGUUUCGGCGGUUGGGGAUGGACUCGCGGCUUAUCAGCUUGUUGGUGGGGUAGUGGCUUACCAAGGCUUUGACGGGUAGCCGGCCUGAGAGGGUGACCGGCCACAUUGGGACUGAGAUACGGCCCAGACUCCUACGGGAGGCAGCAGUGGGGAAUAUUGCACAAUGGGCGGAAGCCUGAUGCAGCAACGCCGCGUGCGGGAUGACGGCCUUCGGGUGGGAAACCGCUUUCGCCUGUGGCGAAGCGUGAGUGACGGGAAUGGGUAAAGAAGCACCGGCUAACUACGU
rnacentral:rRNA from 1 species